UGAUGAUGGCAGAGAGGUCACACCCGUUCCCAUACCGAACACGGAAGUUAAGCUCUCUAGCGCCGAUGGUAGUUGGGACCUUGUCCCUGUGAGAGUAGGACGUCGCCAAGC
rnacentral:rRNA from 3 species